GUCGAGUCAAGUUAUUUAUCAUAAGAUAUCUCUCCAGUGAAGGCACUCAAGCGAUACUCCGAAUCUUUCGCUCGUCUCCUUUCUGCAAGUUCCAUCUGCAGAUGUUUUACCUUUUCACAGGGAGAAAGAAGUGAGCCUCUGGGUCGUCUGCGCCUCUGCUGCAUCAUCUGAACAUGAGUCCUGAUGCGCUGCUCAAGCUCCCGGUCCCUUGCCUCCCUUAGGGCACACACAACAGGCAAAAAUACAAAUGAACACACACCUCACUGACUGCUUAACUUGUAGCGGGGUAAUUAAUCGCACUCAGUAUUUUCCUUUCCUGCAUGAUCUUGGCCUGGUUUCUCCACUGCUGCAACAGCUCCUCGUUUCUAAGACAGACACACACACCCUAGAGGUAAGACAGAUUCAGGCUAGACUGGAGAAUCUCGGUCAGUGGCAGCUUCUCCACAGCCGGCAUGUCUAAAGAUGGGGACCAGAAGGAGUGAGUUUUUACAUCCAAAUGCAUGCGGCCACAAAGGUCGCGCUGUGCCAUGAGGCAGUUGAGCCACACGCGUCGUCUCCAAGGGAACAGAAGUCACACUGCUGAAGCAGAACCAGGGCAGGAAGCUAUUUUUGAAGCAGGCCAUCCUUUUAUGCAAAGCCACAGAUGACCCGUGUGUGUGCUGUGCAAGCUGAGGGGCCGCUGAGCCACGGCUGUGCGACGCAGGAACUGCAGGAUGUGUGCGAGACCCUGCUGCAGCACUUCCUGCGGCGGGAAUGAGAUGGGACAGUUCCUCAGGCUCAGAGCUCGUAGUGUGAUCGUAUUACCUGCCAGGAAAAGACAGCAAGGAAGGAGUUGAAGAAGCAAUUGAAUUUCAAACCAUCUCAGGACCCGUCUAGAUGUUAAUUGACAACUUAUUUAGGAAAAAGCUUUUAUACAAUGAGUGCUGCUCUUGUGAAGGAUGACCAUUUUGCAUACAAUGUUUCCUGUCAGUGAAGGUUUUAAGGGAGAUGGACAUGAUAAUGCGUGGAAUUAAACCCGGGCACCAACUUUCACACAAUGAGUAAGCUGUUCAUUUUUUCUGGCCAAGUAUAAGUGUCAUGAAUUCUGAAUUUUCUGUAACCUUCUGUUGUGACUGUGAGUUAUAUUUCAAUCACAAGGCUGCACAUUCGCCUUACAAAUAAAAAAAAAAAAGCCAGGGCAGCCAUUUAUAAUCUAAUAAUAAUUCAAUGGAACUGUAAUCAUUUUGAACACUGCUGGGAAAAAAAUGAUAAAAUAAUAAUAAUUUAAAAAAACAUACCUAACUCUACAGGAAGUUCUGUAAUCUGGUUCCCUUCCAACAGCAAAGUUUUCAAGCAUCUGAAGAUGUCAAAGAACAAUAUGAGGCCUGAUUUAUAUGAAUUGUUAAAGUUUAUCCAAGCAGGACCAAAUUAUUUAUGUUAAAUGGUGUGUACAAAAUAUUUUGCUGUACCUGUGCUGACCAAUAUCAGCAGGAAGACAAGUGAGCUGGUUAUUUCUCAGGUCUAGCCAAAGCAAAUGUGGCAGAUUGAUGAACAGAUUGUCUGGGAGGCCGGUUAACUCAUUUCCUUCAAGAUAUAAAUUCUUGAAAGGAUGUGAAAAAGAAAGAAAUCCAUGGUAAGUUCACUUAGCUCUCUAGCAGGGGAGGGGCCUGUCUUAAUAGACCAAUAACACAUUUAUAUCUUCUUUUAAAUGUGUUCAUUAUCAGUAUUUACAUGCUGCAUACACAAACUGUUAUUAUUUUUGAAAAUAUAUGACCUAUAAGACAUCAAGAUAUAUCUGAACAUGUAUCACCUAUAAGCCAAUUCAAUUCUUUACCAAACAUGUAUAUACUGUAUAUAGAUUAAAACUACAGCAAGGUCCAAAAGUCCACACAUUAUUACAUGGUCAAUAUUUUGAAUAUUAUUCAAGAUGCUGCUGUGUAAUAUUAUUUAUUUAUUUGUACAAAAUGUUGGAUUUCCUCCACGUGUCUAUUCUCUUUCUCUAAAGCACGAGUUCAGUUGACACCCUGAUGGAUUUGAGCUAAUAAAGUGUGUGUUCAUAUCAA